AUGAACGCUGGCGGCGUGCCUAAUACAUGCAAGUCGAGCGAACGGACGAGAAGCUUGCUUCUCUGAUGUUAGCGGCGGACGGGUGAGUAACACGUGGAUAACCUACCUAUAAGACUGGGAUAACUUCGGGAAACCGGAGCUAAUACCGGAUGAUAUUUUGAACCGCAUGGUUCAAAAGUGAAAGACGGUCUUGCUGUCACUUAUAGAUGGAUCCGCGCUGCAUUAGCUAGUUGGUAAGGUAACGGCUUACCAAGGCAACGAUGCAUAGCCGACCUGAGAGGGUGAUCGGCCACACUGGAACUGAGAUACGGUCCAGACUCCUACGGGAGGCAGCAGUAGGGAAUCUUCCGCAAUGGGCGAAAGCCUGACGGAGCAACGCCGCGUGAGUGAUGAAGGUCUUCGGAUCGUAAAACUCUGUUAUUAGGGAAGAACAUAUGUGUAAGUAACUGUGCACAUCUUGACGGUACCUAAUCAGAAAGCCACGGCUAACUACGUG
rnacentral:rRNA from 1 species